rnacentral:rRNA from 1 species
UAAUACGUAGGUGGCAAGCGUUGUCCGGAUUUACUGGGCGUAAAGAGCGCGCAGGCGGCCGAGUAAGUCGAAUGUGAAAGCCCCCGGCUCAACUGGGGAAGGUCAUUCGAUACUGUUCGGCUCGAAGAUAGGAGAGGGAAGCGGAAUUUCAGGUGUAGUGGUGAAAUGCGUAGAUAUCUGAAGGAACACCAGUGGCGAAGGCGGCUUUCUGGCCUAUUCUUGACGCUGAGGCGCGAAAGCUAGGGGAGCGAACGGGAUUAGAUACCCCGGUAGUCCUAGCCGUAAACGAUGAACACUAGAUGUUGGUGGUAUCAACCCCGCCAGUGUCGUAGCUAACGCAUUAAGUGUUCCGCCUGGGGAGUACGGCCGCAAGGCUA